UAUGAUUUUUUGAAUUAGGGUGUGACAAUUUGUGUCACGCCAUUGAUGUCCAAAUUCUUGAUUUUUUCUACCUUGCCUAAUGAACUCAAUUUGGUCAGAUGUUUUGCAUGAACAUGCUUAUAGAUGUUGAGAAUAUGUAUGAAUUUUUUUGGAAUUUUGGAAUGCAUUUCCUAAUUGUUUGAUAAUUUCUCCCCUGUUUGGCCAAAAUGUUGACUUUUGUGACACUUGAUGCCAUUUGUUUUGUGAAAUUCUCAUACAUUAUUGGAUGGACAUGAAAUUUAAC
rnacentral:lncRNA from 1 species